CAAGUCGAGCGGACCGACGGGAGCUUGCUCCCUUAGGUCAGCGGCGGACGGGUGAGUAACACGUGGGUAACCUGCCUGUAAGACUGGGAUAACUCCGGGAAACCGGGGCUAAUACCGGAUGCUUGAUUGAACCGCAUGGUUCAAUCAUAAAAGGUGGCUUUUAGCUACCACUUGCAGAUGGACCCGCGGCGCAUUAGCUAGUUGGUGAGGUAACGGCUCACCAAGGCGACGAUGCGUAGCCGACCUGAGAGGGUGAUCGGCCACACUGGGACUGAGACACGGCCCAGACUCCUACGGGAGGCAGCAGUAGGGAAUCUUCCGCAAUGGACGAAAGUCUGACGGAGCAACGCCGCGUGAGUGAUGAAGGUUUUCGGAUCGUAAAACUCUGUUGUUAGGGAAGAACAAGUACCGUUCGAAUAGGGCGGUACCUUGACGGUACCUAACCAGAAAGCCACGGCUAACUACGUGCCAGCAGCCGCGGUAAUACGUAGGUGGCAAGCGUUGUCCGGAAUUAUUGGGCGUAAAGCGCGCGCAGGCGGUUUCUUAAGUCUGAUGUGAAAGCCCCCGGCUCAACCGGGGAGGGUCAUUGGAAACUGGGGAACUUGAGUGCAGAAGAGGAGAGUGGAAUUCCACGUGUAGCGGUGAAAUGCGUAGAGAUGUGGAGGAACACCAGUGGCGAAGGCGACUCUCUGGUCUGUAACUGAC
rnacentral:rRNA from 1 species